rnacentral:rRNA from 1 species
UACAGAGGUCUCAAGCGUUGUUCGGAAUCACUGGGCAUAAAGGGUGCGUAGGCGGCACGGUAAGUCAGAGGUGAAAUCCCGGAGCUCAACUUCGGAAUUGCCUCCGAUACUGCCGUGCUUGAGGACUGGAGAGGAGAUUGGAAUUCACAGUGGAGCAGUGAAAUGCGUAGAUAUUGUGAGGAACACUAGUGGCGAAGGCGAAUCUCUGGACAGUUCCUGACGCUGAGGCACGAAGGCCAGGGGAGCAAACGGG